rnacentral:lncRNA from 1 species
GUUCUCUAAUAACUUAUUGUUAAAACAACCAUCCCAGUCCCAUCCAGCCACUGCUGCACCCUGCCACCCCAAAAGCAUCUGACCUGCAGAUGCCUCCCAGAGGAGCCUUUUCCAUCCUGUGCUGGGAAAAAGAACAAUGGCCUCAGGACAGCACAGAUCCUCAAUCCAGGUGGGAGCUCAGCACCCUCCAGCUGGGAAGGCUGUGGUGUCCAAGCUCUCCGGAAGUCCCAAGAGGCUCAGACACCUCCCAGCCUUAUUUUCUCCAUUAAAAACACCAUGUGGGCACCCUGUCUUUUUUAUGAGCUGAAAAGAUUUCACGUCCCAAGACGGAAGAGAGGAGAAAUUGGGGUGCAAAACUUACCUCCACACCAGGAAUAUUGGGACAUUUCUGAAGUUAAAGAAACCCAGCCUCAGUGUGAUGAGGACCGCCCCCCACCAGCCCAGGUGGGCUGUGCAUAAGGAUCAGACAUACUGGGGGAGCAGUGAUCCAACAAGAAAGACCUUUCAAAGGAGAGACACUUCAAAACUCCUUAUCGCCGUCUCCACUAGCCAACGCCAAGUUCUACUUCCAUUUUAUAUCACCGCUUCUCUUUUGUUUUUGUUGUGUUUCUAAAUCUGGAUCAGGAUGGAGACUGGCAGUAUCCCUUGAGAAAAGAGGACCAUGGCUGAAAACACAAAAAAGUGUUCAGAAUGCCCACUUGUGGGCCAAGCACAUGUGAUCUGCUUAGAAGAAUGUCGGCAUAGGCUGUAGGUCUUGAUGGGAGGACAGUAAACAAACAGACAAACUCAGAAUGCUCUCCACACACAGAAAAGGAUUUGGGAAUGGGAACAAUGAAAGUUAUUCUACCAAGUAUUUUAUCCUUCAUCUGAAAUAGAAAGGCUGUCCCACUGGAUGGAAAAGAUGGGGCCCCUUAGGAAACUGUGGCAGCUCUUUGCCAGGGAGCCAGCCACACACCCACUCACGCCCAGGCUGACUCCCUGCGUCACCUGCCAAAGGACAUGGUCAGUCCCCAUCCAUGUCCUGAAGUGCCCCCUGAAGCAGCCAAGGCUAGAUGCUUCUAAGGGACAAGGAGGCCCUGGCAAAAGGGCAACUUGCUACCCAGGAGUGAUCUCUCAAAUUUCCGAGGUCUCCAAACUCCUGAAAUGAGGCAGAUGGUCAAAUCAAAGCUUUCAGAAGAAAAAGAUCUCCACAAUAAAUACAGAAAUAAAGGCCUUCAGGACUUCAUUAGCCCCCUUUUUUUAAAUUCAUUUUUAAGUCACAUCUGAUUUUCAAAGACUAUGCCUUCCUGCUGUACCACCAGGUUCCCUGUCUUCUGGAGUAAAGCAGCAAUUCCCAGGCCUCAAUGGCACACUAGCUCGCAGGUUCUGCUGGCUCUGGACCUGCUGCUCUGCUCCUUUCACAGGCCUGCCUGGUCCCAUCGAUGCAGGGCCUGGAGUCUCUUGCACUGAGUCAAGGGCAGAGGAAGCUGCAACUCAAUGGCACUGCACAUCUGUAAUUCACUGCCUUUGGCUCCCUCCAGCUGUUGUUCCACACCAUCCUCACAACUCUUUAAGGUCUUACAUUCUUACUUUCCCCAUUUUAAAGUCAAGGAAAUUGUGUUAAGUAACCUCUUCUCCCCAAGACUGCACAGCCACUUGUGUGGCUGAGUGCCACACAAUAAAAAUACACCUCAUGCCUCUGAAUGCUGCCUGCCAGGUGGGAAAACAGGUGUAAGGGUUCUGGCUGUGUAGAAGAAGAAAAACGGUGUUGUCAAAGGAAUAGCUGUUCCCCUGGCCAGGUCAUUAUGGUCAGGAAAUCAUACAGCAACUCGGAUGGAGUGUGUCUAGAUUCACAGAGCACAUGAGAGGUUAACCAUAUAUUGAAGUCCUUCGUAGUUUUGUCUUAAGUACUCGAUCUGAUGAGACAAAAACAACUUCAUGUGUUUUGAGCAGUUCAGUGAAUGAUUUUUUCAAGAAAGAAAAUUAAGUUUCCUCUCAAUCUAUGUUAACAAAAUGGCAAAAAAAAACCAAAAACAUGAGGAAGGAAAUUGGGGUCUCCUCUAUGCUAAGCAUAAUGCAAAUAACAGAUCAGAGAUUUUAAAUGCAAUUAUUCCCUCCUCUGUGUUUUAGUGGUUAAAACCUGGCAAUUUGAGGUGGUCACUCACAAACAUGAAUCUCAAACAAUGGAGUUUUUAUCUACCUCCAAAAAAGUAUGGAUCUUGGAAAAAGAAUUUUUUUUUUUACUCUGAUAAGACAGUAAUCUCCUACCUUGCUGACUCAAAUGUACUUGCAUAUUAAUUGCUUCAGACCCCAAAAUCCCUGCUGAACUGGCUAAAUUUUGGGCCAAAUUCAAUAAUCCAGCAACCUCCCAUUCAAUACCUCACCAAGAUAACUUUGCAUGUUUAAUUUAAAAGUACCGAUCGCUUUUAAAUGAAAUGCUAACGCAAGCCCGUCUGCCGGCCCAAGCCACUACUGCAUCUCUGAGGGACAAGCUGCAAGUUGGAGAGCUGACUAAAGUCUGAGCAGCCUUCGGACAACGAGGUGAAGAAAUGAAGGCUCAGAAAAGCUACACGUCCACAGUAAUACAAAAAGCCAGCAGAAGGGCCAAGAUUCCAAUUUCAAUCUUCCUGACUCCAGAGCCCAGGCCUGUUGUGCUGCAGCUUCUCCACUCUCUGGGAAGUUCUUUGAGGCAGUCUGAAACCUCCUCUGCGUUUUCCAGAGGCAACUAUUAAUUAGGCACAAUAAGCAAAGCACCAAAGCUUACAGAGUGUUUGCAAACAUAAAAAAACUUACUGGCUCCAAAAUACAAAAAGAAAACUGCAAAAACUGAAAUUACUCAAAGUUCAAUUAAAUGCCUACUACAAUGCAAGAGAACGCCACCUAGUACACUGGGAUUCAACUCUGAUGUAGGUAUUGUAAACUGUAUUUUCUGUGUGAUGGCAGCACAGUCUAUUUGUGUUAGUCUGCUUUCCAGGCUGCAGCGCAGGCCUUAAACCAGCCCUGGGUUUCACUGGCCUUUUUCACCAAAGGGCAUUCGUACCAGGCCAUGGCAGUCAGAGAGCAGGAUCUGUGGAAACAGAGGGGAGGGCCUCUGAGAGCAGCGGCCAGAGCAAUGUUUCCUCCUCCAGGUGGCAGAAAUAGCUUUUCUAGCCUUGUCAUAGUGCCCAACCCUAAGAGAUCGCCUUGCAGUUGGGUCCCCACCAUUCCUCUCACUUAUCUGUGCGAGAAUGCGGAUAGGGCUGGAAGAGAGCAGGCCAUCCACGUGGCAGGCCAAGCCCCUGAAGCACUCUGCCACUGUACACACAAGGCCACACACAACCCCUCCCUGCUAUCUUCACUUGGGGCACCAUUCUCUCAGCAGUAUUUCCUCCAUUUUCAACUCUUCCCCAGUAUUGGUAAAUAUUGAUAAUUACCUCCAAACGCAAAAGUGAAGAAGUUUGUGUUUUGAAAUAUGAUCAUAAUUCAAACUGGAAGCUGACACUAAUCAUUUGAUGUUCACUUGAAAAGACCAGAUAGGCUGUGCAGGAACAUUUCAGUAGGGGAACCGAUAAGGAGAAGGGAAAUAAAAAUUAUUGGUAUUUACUCAGCCUGCAAUGCUUGUGGAAGGAAACUCUUUUAAAAGGGGAGCACUUCAGAAUGGUUAUUCAAUCUGAAUUUUACAGAUAGCACUGGAAAUAUUUUCUUGCAGAAUGCACUCUAUCUCCACCAUCAUAUCUCUCCGGUGCGCCAUUCACGUCGUUCAUUGCAGGAAUUCUCACUCAAUUUUGCUCCAUUAUGAGCUGACGGUGACCCAGAGUAUACAAGGCAUUCAAGAAUCUGACUGGAAAUUACUACCACAAAACAUCUGUCCCAUUCCCCGCUUGCCAGCCCUGCCUUAGGGAGUGAAGAUGGAAAACAACCCAGAAUCCACACGCAGGAACAACUUUUCAUUCCCCUCACAAACCAGGCUCCUUUGGAAACUGAUGGUUCCAGCAUUUUUUUAGAAACUAUGUUCCCGGAAAAACAUGGCAUGGGCCUCUUUUGAAAGCCUUCAGCUCAAAACCCUUCUUUUCCUACCCAGACCCUUCUAAUAAAAGCCAGGACAGGAGCUUCACGGGGAAGCAAACAUGAAGGCCACCCAGGGUUCUCCCUACUUUGUGUGGUCAGAUUCAAAUUUUGCAUUAAAUGCCACUGAUCAAUUAAAAGACCACAGGGAUGUCACACAUACUAAUACAUUCCACAGCUUAUGUGGCAUCUAUCUUAUAGACAUACUCCCUUUGGAAGAUUUAUGUUGCGAUUACAAAAGAGUAAAAGAAGACAUCUGAUUUCAUACAGGGCUAAGCCUCGGAACCCAGCUUUUCUCCUCGAUUGCUAUCAGAGGAUCGAGGCGGCAGCAUGGCACCUCCCAUCUAGAUUGCAUUUCACUUUGCUGCAGAUGCUCCAAGGGACCAAGCAAUGGACAUGCUCAAUGAAUCAAAUAAAUGAAUAAUCCAGAAAGAACUGGUUUGUCUGCAAUCAAGAAUCAGUGUCUGUGUCUCCAUCCUCAUGUCCAACAGUGCCCCACCACCUCCAUAUGCUUAUAAUUCGUCAGGGGUCAGAGAGAUCAUUGGCACAGUAACUGCUCCCAGCCAGUCACAGUGGUUCACACCUGUAAUCCCAGCACUUUGGGCAGUCAAAGCAGGAGGAUCACUUGAGCCCAGGAGUUUGAGACCAACCUGCGCAACACAGCAAGCGCUUGGCUCUACAAAAAAUAAACAAACAAAACAAUAACUGCUCCCUACUAUGUGCCUGAAGCUUUAUUUAUGGACAUCUUUGAUGCAACCACCCUGUGAGAUAAUCAUCUGCAUUUGAGGUGCACAGACAGGCUCAGAGAGGCCAGGUGGCAUUUCCGCUAGACCCAGGCCACCCCUAUGCAUGGGUUCCUUCGGCCUGACCAUCACUAUGUCCUUAAUGUGCUGGGCCUUGCUACCACUGCUGUUUUCAGUUAAACUCUCUUGGGUGCUAAAGUUAUGGAGGCACCUCAAAUCAGAAGUUCCAGGUUUGAGGAAGAGAGAGCAGAAAGAUAUGAGAUCCCAAUUCUUGCAUAGGCUGGAAUCUGGUGGGACAGGAGUUGUAAACCAAUGCCACUGUCCUUUGUUAUCUGUGGGGGAUUGAUUUGAGGACCCCUGAAGGACCAAAAUCUGAGGAUGCUUAAGGCCCUGAUAUAAAAUGACAGAGUAUUUUCAU